rnacentral:lncRNA from 1 species
GAAUAGGUAAUAAGUCAAGAGUUACCACUCUGACUAGGUAAUAAGUCAAGAGUUACCACUGGUUUGAGAAAGUGUGUUUGUGUGUGUGUACAGGUUGGGGCCAGUGAAUGGUCCUCUGGCGCUCCCUAAGCUCCUGGAGCUGCUGCCAGCCCUGCACAGUCUACAUCACCUGGAGUAAGUACCGCUCUACUGAUGGACCACGGGACAACGGCUUUCACUUUAUUACGCUGUCGGUCGAAUCUCUCUGUCGGUCUAAUCUCUCUGUCUCUCUCACCCAGUCUGGAGAACAGUAAACUGGGGGACAGUGGGCUGAGGGGCUGGCUGGAGCUGUGCUGUCUCUCUCCUCUCUGCAGAUUAUCAAGUAAGAAACCUCACACUGAGCUCUCUACUGUCUAGAUCAACCUGUUCAUCACUGAGCCCUCUACUCUCUAGAUCAACCUGUUCAUCACUGAGCUCUCUAGACUCUAGAUCAACCAUCAACCUGUUCAUCACUGAGCUCUCUUGUCUCUAGAUCAACCUGUCCGUCACUGAGCUCUCUAGAUAAAAUCUAUCUGUAGAUCUCUGGGGUCAUUAUGACCCAGAAAAGGUUGGAGACCUCUGCCCUAGAUAAUAUCUAUCUGCACUAUCAUUCAGCACACUAUCAUUCAGCACAGCAUACUGUGCUUUUGUUAACAAUGUUUAUGGUCUCUCCUCCUCUCUCCUCCUCUCCCCUCCUUUCCUUUCUCCUCCCCUCCUCUCUUCUUCUCCCCUCCUCUCUUCUUUUCUCCUCUCUCUUCCUCUUCUCCCCACUCUCCUCCUCUCCGCCCCUCCUCCUUUCUCCCCACUCUCCUCCUAUCCUCCCCUCCUCUCUUCUUCUCUUCCCUCCUCUCCUUUCUCCCCUCCUCUCCUUUCUCCCCUCCUCCUCUCCUUUCUCUUCCCCUUCUCUCCUUUCUCCCCUCCUCCUCCCCUUCUCUCCUUUCUCCCCUCCUCCUCUCCUUUCUCCUCCCUUCUCUCCUUUCUUCUCCUCUCCUCUCCUCCUCUUCUUUCCUUUCUCCUCCCCUCUUCUUCUCUUCCCUCUCCUCCCCUCCUCUCCUCCUCUUUCUCCUCCUCUCCUCCUUUCCUCUCCUCCCCUCCUCUCCUCUCCUCUCUUCUCCUCUCUUCUCUUCUCUUCUCUUCUCUUCUCUUCUCUUCUCUUCUCUCAGUCUGUCCCAGAACUGUAUAGGAGACCAGGGAAUAAGGAGUCUGGCUCCUGCUCUGUCUACCCUCCCCUCACUGCACUGUCUCAGUCUGUACAGUAAUGUGAUAUCUGACGGGGGGUGCUGAGAGUCUGGCUGCUGUUUUACCUCAGAUGACAUCACUCAGUGACCUGGAGUAAGUUUUAAUUAUAAAACUAUACUGCAGUAAAUCUGAAUUAUAAAACAUGACUGCAGUAAUAAUGCA